UCCAGAACCCCUGUCGCUGGCACUCGACUCCAAAUAGGCUCGACACACACUCCCCUCGCUCUGAAUCCGGCGGCGUGAAAGCCUUGCGCCCUUGCCUUGCCUUGCCUUCCUGCGAGCGCGAGGACCACGGCUCUCCUUCCCUUCCCGGCGUGCACCGUAGCCCGAAGACCGUCGUCUUCUCGCGUCUCACGCCGUUUGGUGCGUUCCCGUUCCCCGCGUCGGCUUGCCGUAUUUUCUGCACGGGUGUCACUGUCAUGUCGGACCCGUGAAGCGAUUACGCCGCCCAUGGGCCAUGACCCUGCCUGGGCUGGGAGAACCCAACCGCAGCGUCGGCAAGCCAAGUCGAUCCCUAUCCGGCUAUGGCUGCCCGCUAUCCCCAGGCGCUCAGGCGGCGGCGUAUCCGUUCUGUUGCAGACAGCAGGUCCUUCCUAGUAGCGCCAACGGCCGGCUACUGCACAAGUUGCCCCGGAUGCGAUGUGCCAAGAAGGCGGUGACGACGAGUUUCCCCUUCCCCGCACCUACGUGCUCUGCUACGGGAGCCACCCUUCCGCGUUGGUCUCCUCGGAUACGAUGGCCAUGGCGUUCUUCUUCCAGCUGCUCCCAGAUCACCCCGGGGUUCUAAUAGCCGCAGCCCAAGUAAACGAUGGAUUUCUGGUUACGCAGCCUCGCACAUCAAUUCGAUUGGUGCAGCUCUAUGUUGUAGCCAUUUUUUUCUCUUCAAUAAUUGUUUGCUGAAACCUGGUGACGAGUACAGUCUCUGCUGCUGCGUGGCUGUGAUGACAAAAAGGUUAUUUGGUUGAUUAUGAUUCUUAAUGCCAUUUAAGGAUCAAAUUGUGAUGACCUAUUUGUGCGUGUCUGAGCCGAUGCAAUGAAGAGUCCAUUUUUGCUGACCGUUCUGCUGAUCUUUCUGCUAAGGAUUUUGCACUAUUGUUUAUCUGAUUUUGGUCGUGGGAUGGUAAUCAAUUCGGGGUGCAAGUAUCCUUUUAUCUGUAGCUGGCAGGAUGAAUGGCAAAGGGACCAAUCUUGAAUUUAUGUUUGUCGAUUGGAUUUCUGGCAUCUUUGGAACAUCUGGCAUGGCUGGGAUGACAAAAACAUACGUUUCUCGAUCCUGAUACUUGGUUUUAUCAAGGACCAAACUUUGAUGACCUUUGUGCGUAUCUGAGCCGUUGCAAAUGAGUAUGUUUUCCUUAUUUAUUGUUACAAGGUUAUGGCCUUCUGUGCAUCUGGGUUAUCCAGGGUGGCUAUGGUGACACAAAUGUUCGUUUCUCGAUGAUAUUAGUUGUGUCAGAAGAACUUGAUUUAUUCAAGGUUAUGAGCUCUGUGCGUGUCUGAGCCAGCACCUUAAUUCUUUGCUUGUAAACUAUGAACCUCUUUUGUUGCCCAUGGUAUACUUGAGUUCUGUUUGCCUGAAGUGAAUGUUAUUAGCUGCUUGUCUACUGUGAUAUUUGGAGAGUUUGCAGAUCGGAACGGGUUGCUCUGGUCCAAAUCAUGACACUGACUGUGUUGUGGUGAUAGAGAUAAUAAUCACUUUUUUGGAUGAGAUAUCACUAUUACCUAUCUUUAUUCUUUGCACGAAAAGUAUGACCUUUUCUGUUGUUCAUGUCUUAUUUGAGUUUUGUUUAGCUCAGUUUUGCUUUUUUAUUAAAUUUUGGUGACAAUAAUCUCCAAAAUUAUGCUGCUGGUUACUUGUCUGUUGUGAUUUUUGGCGAGUUCUAAAGUUCGAUAGAUAUUUGUGCACUGCUUCAUCAGUCUUUUGCAUUCUCAGAUGUAAUCAUAGCUGUUCUGGAUGAUGAUGUCAGAGCGGCCACGGAUCCUUUUCUUGCAUCGAAUUGUCAUACAUGAACUUGGAUUCUUUGUGGCCAUCAUAUUGUCGUAUACAUGAACCUGGGUUCUUUUGUGGCCACCUGGCUGCUCUUUCUAUCCAGGCCAUGUUCCAAUUAUAAUACAUGAAUUGCAUAUAUCAUUGACCAGAAACUAUGUUUGGAACCCUGGUAGGAUUGUUUUUGGAAAAGCACUCAAACUGUGUGAUGGCAGUAGUUAGUUUUGUGGCUUGUCAAAGGGAUUCCUACAAGUGGGUACUCUGCUGUUUUACGUCGCAGCCAUUUUGAAGGUCAAAUGACCUCAAUGUUUGCAACGGGAGCUACAUGGUCAUCUGUUUAACAUGUACUCGUAUUUAAUAUAAUGAUGACACAGCUCUCCUGUAUGUUUGAAAAAAAAACAAGAGUCAGAAAAGCGUGCAUGUAGUUUCUUGGAACCUUGUUUACUAGAGCUGGUUCUUCAAACAGUUUUCUGUCAAUCAAAGUGGUUGUCUGAAGUUCCUGUUGAAAGUGGAACAUGAAACAUCUAGCAAGCAAGAUAUCAUCUGACACAAACUAGAACUUGUUUAAGAUACAGCCGUAUCCAGAAGAACUGAUAAUUCAACUAGCUAAAUGCUACGUAACAGAAAUACAAAUGUAGAUAGCAAGCAUGCAUGGGGCAAGCAAUGUGGUCAUAACCUUUUUCUGACCAUUGUUUGCCUACAUGAUGGGAUAUCUAUGUCAAGCUCUUCAUGGAUUGAGGAAUCAUGGUGCAUGGUCAAGAUUCAACAACCAACCAUAUGACCUUGGUUUACACUUGCUUAAGUCCUUGCUAUUCUUGGAGUUCGUUAAGAUUUCGCCUAGAGGUCCACCUUGAGGCAUCUCCCAAGAGCUUGAUAUGCAAUCCUGCUUCACCUGUGUCAUGUUAGGUGUAAGGCAGGUAGCUCUUGGACCGUCUGCAGAAUAGAAAGUCGACGAAACUAGCACGGAAUCAGAAUAUUUGUUCUUUUCUGACUCCAUCUUCUCAUUCUGGGCUAGGCUGAAAUUUUGAAGGACUGAUUGGAGGGAUUCAGCAUCAUGGCGCUCUGUAGAGGAAAUGCUCUUGUGGCUAGGCUGGUUGCCACCCCAGGCUUUCAAUAUUGUGUCUGGGUUUGACUCAUUUUCCAGUGUGGGGCCUAACUUAUCUGGUUUGUUUUGCUGCUUCAGCUGAGAGAGCAGGGACAAGGUGGGUUGGCUGUUCGUAGAAGUAAGCAGCAAAGAGCUAUCUUCCGUCGGUUUGUUUGCUUUCUCUCUGCUCAACAUUGUCCUGAAAAUGAGUACAAGGUUGUGGAAUGGGAAUUAUUAUGACUGCUAAGUGGCAACUAAAAUAAAAAUUAAUAUUAACUAGAACCUCAACAUACUAACAUUAUUCCAGGAUGCAUGCUCUUAAUAGGAUGCACAAGUAUUAAAUUGGGAUUUUAUUAUUCAGAUAUCAUGCUAAAAUAGGGUGCCUUAUAUAAGGAGAUGACUCUGGUGUAAGAAUAUAGUAUUUACCUGUUUAAACUAUCUGCCCAAUAGCUGACAGUGCCUGGCUUGGAGUCAUUAACUUUUGCCUUCUUCAAGCUACCUUGUGGCCCAGCACAUGGCAAUGAGCCAGCAGCAGCAGGCACCUCCUUGGUGGUCUUCUUAGGUUGAUUUUCCACAGGCUUUCUUGAACGGUGACGGUUUCUGUUGAUGUGCCGCUCACAGUACUUGUGAUCAGCCAUUGCUUCCUUGGAGCACCGCCACUUCUUUCCAUCCGUUCGUCGGCAUCUCCCAGGUUCUGGGUCAGAGUCUGCAUUUGUGUAGCCUUGAUACAGAGGCCUCCAGCUCACUGCGUUAGAGAAGUCUGUCAAGCUCUGGCAUCUAUAUUCAAAGCAUUACUGUGGUUAUCCUUUAUGGCAUACGAGUGUUUAGGUACAAAAUGGUGGUUCCUUUUUGGUGUAAUAUCUUUGAAAUUCCAUGGCAUUCAUACAUUGAACCUAAUGAGUUGCAGUUUCAAAUACUACAGAGCUGCCACUGCCAGCAUUUUUUGUUUACCAUGUAACGCUGCACCUUUGCAAAGUAAUAUUUCUCUUCUAUCUUGGUUGGUUGCAAGUGCCAGUAGUUUUGAAGUAGAAAACCUUAGUUUUCUGGUUCAGUACCUCUAUUGGAUGAUCUGAAGCUCUUGCUGAUUGAAAUGAGCAGGCUGGAAGGUAUGGGGGGGCCUUUGCAUUGAGGUACUUGUAUAUCAGAGCCUGGUGCUCCAGCUCCAUCCACUGCGAGGGAGUAAAUGGCAUCUUGGUCCUGGACAGCAGGAAAGCCUGCUCACCUGGGCCUCCAAAAUCCAAGCCUAGAUGACGGUGAAACAAGGAGAAUAUUUUAGUCUGACCAAAUCUGAAAUGCUGAAGCAAACAGCAACCUUAUCUCCAGAGACAAAAGUGUGAAGGUAAAAAAAAAAGCAGAUGAAAUGUUUACAGGCAGCCUUGGCGGUGAGGGAGGGGCCCAGGGCCCAGACCCCAGGACCCAGGGAGAGCUCUAGUGCUUUGCAAAUCCCUAUUGCUGCUAGGCUAGGCCCCUCCAUAUAAGGUAGCACUCAUGAGCGCUCAUCAAGUUCAAUGAACGCUGCACCGCUGUUCUCCUUUUGACUUUUGCUUUUCUUUUUGAAUAUUAUUAGGCCAUUCUCAGUGUACAGAGACUGGCCGCGGUGAAUCGUUUAAACGUAGAACUGUGCGUGACACUGUUAAACAAUAUUUGUAGAUUGAAGUUUGGCAUAGGAGAUGAGAAUGGUGAUUAGGAGAGAGGAUACUCUGUCUCAUCCCCUAUUUUAAAUUUCGCGUCCCUAUUUUACACUACCGCUAGAGACCGUCUUACUACCCCUGUCUAACAUGUUUUGCAGAGAACAUAUCCAUCCAAGAACAUGCACAUGCGGCGUGAUAUCUCCGUAUGGAUGGGAACUGGGAAGGAAGAAUGAAGAUGCAUGAGGGAAGAUGUGUUGAUGAGGACUGAGGAGGCAUCCAAACCUGAGUGCAAUGUGUGAGCCGCCUUGGAGAACCUGAGCAUCUUCUCCUCGUCAAGGAAGGGGGAGGGGUAGGGGGCAGCAGCCGCAGCCUGGGUGAGGCCUGCUCGCUUGAGAAGACCCAGGUCGCUGUCCCUGGGCGAUGGCGCGGUGAUUGCGAUGCCUUGCUGCAGCCCCAGCACAUCUCCGACUCCGAGCUCCAUGGCCACGACACCGGCAGCAGCGCAGAACUCAGCGCUCAUUUUUGGGGGAGAGGAGCCUGACGAGAGAGUGGAUGUUGGUGUGCAUUGUUGGGGACAGGCUGGUGAAGAGAGAGAAGGUGGGUGUGCUUUUCUAGUGGGAGCCUGGGAGGCAGGGGUGUGGGUGGGCGCUGGGCGGCUUAAAUAUCUCCGGUCCUUUCAUCCAUUCUUUUGUCUUUGCAUGAGUUCCGAGAGUUUUUUUAGCUCAAUACAAUGCUGUACAAUAUUUGGUUUAUGCCAGUGAGUUGUCAGCGAGUACCACCGAUGGUGUAGCAGUGA